CACGAACUCCAAUUCUUUUUUAUUCAAAAUGUUUAAAAACUUUCCCUUCUCCAAUAUGCUAAACAAACGUUGUUUCGUGUCUAGUGUGGGGUCCCCCUUUAUUGGUUUGUACGUAAGGGGAUCAUUCAAAAUUCUCCUACACUCUGCAUUGUAGUCUUUAGUGUUCAGGACCACAAUUCCUCCUCCCUUAUCUGCCGGUUUUAUUGUGAUUUCAUUAUUAUCACUAAGUUCUUUGAGUGCUGCACGUUCCCAUACACUUAAAUUCUGUUUAUGUUUCGCUAUUCUUUUUGGUAACUUUUCUAUAUCUGCAGUCACUGCCAUGGGGCCACUAAAAAGCUGACAUGGGGCCACUUGUGUCAUGGGGCCACUUGUUUGAUUCAUUGGGCAGAAUGUGGAGUUGUUUUUGAGGGUUGUGUGGUGAAAGAUGUUAUAUUCCGGUUUAGGUGCCAUAGGGACCGUAUUAUUCAAAAAGAAUUUUUUAAGAGUCAAUUUUCUCAUAUAUUUUUGUACGUCUAAAAAUGCUAUAAAUGGAUCUGAUUUC